GAUGAACGCUGGCGGCGUGCCUAAUACAUGCAAGUCGAACGAGUUCUGAUUAUUGAAAGGUGCUUGCAUCUUGAUUUAAUUUUGAACGAGUGGCGAACGGGUGAGUAACACGUGGGUAACCUGCCCUUAAGUGGGGGAUAACAUUUGGAAACAGAUGCUAAUACCGCAUAAAUCCAAGAACCGCAUGGUUCUUGGCUGAAAGAUGGCGUAAGCUAUCGCUUUUGGAUGGACCCGCGGCGUAUUAGCUAGUUGGUGAGGUAACGGCUCACCAAGGCAAUGAUACGUAGCCGAACUGAGAGGUUGAUCGGCCACAUUGGGACUGAGACACGGCCCAAACUCCUACGGGAGGCAGCAGUAGGGAAUCUUCCACAAUGGACGCAAGUCUGAUGGAGCAACGCCGCGUGAGUGAAGAAGGCUUUCGGGUCGUAAAACUCUGUUGUUGGAGAAGAAUGGUCGGCAGAGUAACUGUUGUCGGCGUGACGGUAUCCAACCAGAAAGCCACGGCUAACUACGUGCCAGCAGCCGCGGUAAUACGUAGGUGGCAAGCGUUAUCCGGAUUUAUUGGGCGUAAAGCGAGCGCAGGCGGUUUUUUAAGUCUGAUGUGAAAGCCCUCGGCUUAACCGAGGAAGUGCAUCGGAAACUGGAAAACUUGAGUGCAGAAGAGGACAGUGGAACUCCAUGUGUAGCGGUGAAAUGCGUAGAUAUAUGGAAGAACACCAGUGGCGAAGGCGGCUGUCUGGUCUGUAACU
rnacentral:rRNA from 1 species